rnacentral:rRNA from 1 species
UACGAAGGGGCUAGCGUUGCUCGGAAUCACUGGGCGUAAAGCGCACGUAGGCGGAUUGUUAAGUCAGGGGUGAAAUCCUGGAGCUCAACUCCAGAACUGCCUUUGAUACUGAGGAUCUUGAGUUCGGGAGAGGUGAGUGGAACUGCGAGUGUAGAGGUGAAAAUUCGUAGAUAUUCGCAAGAACACCAGUGCGAAGGCGGCUCACUG